GGGGAUGUAGCUCAGUGGUAGAGCGCGUGCUUCGCAUGUACGAGCCCCGGGUUCGAUCCCCGGCAUCUCCA